rnacentral:rRNA from 1 species
UGGGGAUAUUGGGCAAUGGGCGAAAGCCUGACCCAGCCACGCCGCGUGAAUGAUGAAGGCCUUCGGGUUGUAAAACUCUUUUUAUGGGGAAGAAAAGCCCCGUGCGUGAUAGGGGUUGAGGGUGCCGGAACAAUAAGAAGAGGCCCCGUCUAAGCCCGUGCCCGCGGUAAUAAUAAUAA